GCUGGCGGCAGGCCUGUCAUGCAGGUCGAGCGGUAGAGAGAAGCUUGCUUCUCUUGAGAGCGGCGGACGGGUGAGUAAUGCCUAGGAAUCUGCCUGGUAGUGGGGGAUAACGUUCGGAAACGGACGCUAAUACCGCAUACGUCCUACGGGAGAAAGCAGGGGACCUUCGGGCCUUGCGCUAUCAGAUGAGCCUAGGUCGGAUUAGCUAGUUGGUGAGGUAAUGGCUCACCAAGGCUACUAUCCUUAACUGGUCUGAGAGGAUGAUCAGUCACACUGGAACUGAGACACGGUCCAGACUCCUACGGGAGGCAGCAGUGGGGAAUAUUGGACAAUGGGCGAAAGCCUGAUCCAGCCAUGCCGCGUGUGUGAAGAAGGUCUUCGGAUU
rnacentral:rRNA from 1 species